GUAUCAAAAGAAAGGAAAGAAAAGUUAAUACCCUCCUUGACUAGUGUAGAAGUACUUAGGUCUAACAACAUGCACAUGGUAAAGGUAUUAUCACCUACUUUUUGGCAUCUAACCACUGUUUUUU